rnacentral:rRNA from 1 species
UACAGAGGUCUCAAGCGUUGUUCGGAUUCAUUGGGCGUAAAGGGUGCGUAGGUGGCGCGGUAAGUCGGGUGUGAAAUCCGAUGGCUUAACUCCGAAAUUGCAUUCGAUACUGCCGUGCUUGAGGACUGGAGAGGAGACUGGAAUUCAUGGUGUAGCAGUGAAAUGCGUAGAGAUCAUGAGGAAGACCAGUGGCGAAGGCGGGUCUCUGGACAGUUCCUGACACUGAGGCACGAAGGCCAGGGGAGCAAACGGG